GACGAACGCUGGCGGCGUGCCUAAUACAUGCAAGUCGAACGCUGAAGGAGGAGCUUGCUUCUCUGGAUGAGUUGCGAACGGGUGAGUAACGCGUAGGUAACCUGCCUGGUAGCGGGGGAUAACUAUUGGAAACGAUAGCUAAUACCGCAUAAUAGCAGUUGUUGCAUGACAACUGUUUGAAAGGUGCAAUUGCACCACUACCAGAUGGACCUGCGUUGUAUUAGCUAGUUGGUGGGGUAACGGCUCACCAAGGCGACGAUACAUAGCCGACCUGAGAGGGUGAUCGGCCACACUGGGACUGAGACACGGCCCAGACUCCUACGGGAGGCAGCAGUAGGGAAUCUUCGGCAAUGGACGGGAGUCUGACCGAGCAACGCCGCGUGAGUGAAGAAGGUUUUCGGAUCGUAAAGCUCUGUUGUAAGAGAAGAACGAGUGUGAGAGUGGAAAGUUCACACUGUGACGGUAUCUGACCAGAAAGGGACGGCUAACUACGUG
rnacentral:rRNA from 1 species